UUUUGUGCUGGUGAUUCACUUCUGAUAAUUGGGGAUAAAAAGGGAGCAGUUUUUGGUGGAUUAGUAGAGGCUCCUUUGCGGCCGAUCAUGCAAAGGAAGUAUCAGGGGACCAAGAACUGCUUCGUGUUCACCAAUGUAGCUGGUCGCCGUGUUAUAUAUCGUCCAACGGGUACU